GAUGAACGCUGGCGGCGUGCCUAAUACAUGCAAGUCGAGCGAACAGACGAGGAGCUUGCUCCUCUGACGUUAGCGGCGGACGGGUGAGUAACACGUGGAUAACCUACCUAUAAGACUGGGAUAACUUCGGGAAACCGGAGCUAAUACCGGAUAAUAUAUUGAACCGCAUGGUUCAAUAGUGAAAGACGGUUUUGCUGUCACUUAUAGAUGGAUCCGCGCCGCAUUAGCUAGUUGGUAAGGUAACGGCUUACCAAGGCAACGAUGGGUAGCCGACCUGAGAGGUGAGUCGGCCCCCCUGGAACUCGGCCCCGGUCCAGCCCCCUCGGGGUGGCCGCGGUGGGGACUCUUCCGAAUGGGGCGAAACCUUACGGGAGCAACGCCGCGUGGGUGAUGAUGUUUUUGGGUCCGAAAACCUUUUUUUUUGGGAAAGAAAAAAUUUUAAGGUAAUUAUCCCCCUUUUGGCUGUACCUAAUCAGAACGCCGCGGCAAACUCCGG
rnacentral:rRNA from 1 species